CAGCACUCCACUGAACCUAACGGGCUUUUCCGUGUCCGUUCGCGGGUCAAGCGGAGUGCGAGACCAUAUCUUGUCAUAACUGGGGUUUCUUGGCACUGUCACCAAGUAGCUCUUUUAAAGCAAGACACACUU
ensembl:snoRNA